CGAUGGCCCACGCAAGUGGGAUCAGGUAAGGGUGAAAGGGUGCGGUAAGAGCGCACCGCGCGGCUGGUAACAGUCCGUGGCACGGUAAACUCCACCCGGAGCAAGGCCAAAUAGGGGUUCAUAAGGUACGGCCCGUACUGAACCCGGGUAGGCUGCUUGAGCCAGUGAGCGAUUGCUGGCCUAGAUGAAUGACUGUCCACGACAGAACCCGGCUUAUCGGUCAGUUUCACCU
rnacentral:RNase_P_RNA from 3 species